AAUCAACGCUGGCGGCGUGCCUCAGACAUGCAAGUCGAACGCGAAAGUCCCCUUCGGGGGACAAGUAGAGUGGCGCACGGGUGAGUAACACGUAGGUAAUCUACCUUCGGAUGGGGAAUAACAACCGGAAACGGUUGCUAAUACCGCAUAAUGCAGCGGCACCUAAUGGUGACAGUUGUUAAAGCGGGGGAUUGAAAGACCUCGCGUCUGAAGAGGAGCCUGCGGCGGAUUAGCUUGUGGUAGGGUAACGGCCUACCAAGGCGACGAUCCAUAGCCGGCCUGAGAGGGCGGUCGGCCACACUGACACUGACAUACGGGUCAGACUCCUACGGGAGGCAGCAGUCGGGAAUUUUGGGCAAUGGGCGAAAGCCUGACCCCAGCAACGCCGCGUGAAGGAUGAAAUCCCUCGGGAUGUAAACUUCGCAAGAACGGGAAGAA
rnacentral:rRNA from 1 species